rnacentral:rRNA from 1 species
CCUACGGGAGGCAGCAGUGAGGAAUAUUGGUCAAUGGGCGCGAGCCUGAACCAGCCAAGUCGCGUGAGGGAUGAAGGUUCUAUGGAUCGUAAACCUCUUUUAUAAGGGAAUAAAGUGUGGGACGUGUCCUCUUUUGUGUGUACCUUAUGAAUAAGGAUCGGCUAACUCCGUGCCAGCAGCCGCGGUAAUACGGAGGAUCCGAGCGUUAUCCGGAUUUAUUGGGUUUAAAGGGUGCGCAGGCGGCCUUUUAAGUCAUCGGUGAAAUUCCGUGGCUGAACCAUAGAAUUGCCGUUGAAACUGGUGGUGUUGAGUAUGAUAGAGGCAGGCGGAAUGCGUGGGGUAGCGGUGAAAUGCAUAGAUAUCACGCAGAACCCCGAUUGCGAAGGCAGCCUGCCGAGGCAUGACUGACGCUGAUGCACGAAAGCGUGGGUAUCAAACAGGAUUAGAGACCCGAGUAGUC